AAGACUAUAGACCUGCGGAGUACCUGCGGAGGGAUCAUUAUUGAAUUAUGUUUCUAAAUGGGUUAUAGCUGGCUCGUCAGAGCAUGUGCACGCCUGUUUGGACUUCAUUUUCAUCCACCUGUGCACCUAUUGUAGUCUUUGGUUGGGUAUCAAGGAAGUGGUCAGCCUAUCAGCACUUGCUGGAUGUGAGGACUUGCAGUGUGAAAGCUUUGCUGUCCUUUACUUGAUCAUGGAGUUGUU
rnacentral:misc_RNA from 1 species